rnacentral:lncRNA from 1 species
UCUUUUCUUUUUCUUUCUUUUUUUUUUUUUUGCAUUUUCUUUGACCAUUGUGUCGAUGUUUUCUGUGGUACCUUCUGCACGUGAGAUUCUCUUUUUAAUCUCUUGUAUUCUGUUGGUGAUGCUUGCAUCUAUGACUCCUGAUUUACUUCCCAGGCUUUCUAACUUCAGGGUUGUCCCUCUUUGUGAUUCUUUAUUGUGUCUUUCCAUCCUAGAUCCUGGAUGGUUUUGUUCAAUUCCUUCACCUGUUUGGUUGUGUUUUCCUGUAAUUCUUUAAGGGACUUUUGUUGUUGUUGUUUCUCCUUUAAGGGCUUAUACCUAUUAACUUUUGUUCUCCUGUAUUUCUUUAAGGAAUUUAUUUAUAUCAUUCUUAAAGUCCUCUAUCAUCAUCAUGAGAUGUGAUUUUAAAUCAGAGUCUUGUUUUUCUGGUGUGUUGGGGUAUCCAGGGCUUGCUGAGGUGGGAGAACUGUUUUCUGAUAAUGCCAAGUAGCCUUGGUUUCCAUUGCUUAUGUUCUUCACUUUACUCUCACCAUCUGGUUAUCUGUGGUGUUAGCUGGUCUUGCUGUCUCUGAUUGUGGCUUGUCCCUCCUGUAAGCCUGUGUGUCAUCACUCCUGGAAGACAAACUCUCUCCUGGUAGAAUUUGGUUAUGGAGAGCUUUGGCACAGGUUCAGCUCUGGGUGCAGAUAGACACUGGAAGGAUCCUGUUCCUGUUUUUAAAAUUUGGAAAUGCAGGUUCCGGGGUAUCUAACUCACAUCUUCAUGCUUGCAAUUAUGUUACCAACUGAGAUGUCAUCCUAGCCCUAGUUGUGGUUAUCUGAGGACUUUCUGUCCUGAAGUGGCUGUGCCAGUUAAUAUUCUGGACACUGAAUUACUUUUAAUGGAAUCCUGACUCUUUGUUUUAGAUGCUUUUUUCAUUUAUUAUUAUGAAGAUAAUCACAUAUUUUCAUUUUAAAGUUGUUUUCUUCUCUGCAUAGUGCCAACUGCAUUCAGACUGCUUUUAUUUUUUUCUUCACUGUCCCUCAUCUUAGACACUGUUCUGAAAUGCCUAUUAUUUGUCUGUUUGGUUGUAUUAAGGACAGGCAUAUGAAAUCUGAUUGAAAGUCUUGUGAAUUUCCAUGUUUAUUUAGUACAGGUCUCAGUCUUGGAUUGUUUGUCUCAGAUUGUUUCCUUUGGUGUGCUAAUGAGAGAUUGGGGGUGGGGCGUGACUUUGUUACCACAUUCUCUUCAGUUGCUUAGAUCUUUCAGACUGCUGUUCAAUACAGAUAUAAUUGGCUGCUAUUGUGUUUAAGGAAAUGGGAUAAAUUUCUCAGAGUUGUUAGAUGUACACAUAUUCAGCUCUUCUCCUUGCUUUCAGUAUGCUGAUCUGAUCUCAGUUAAACCUUAGUCCCUUAGUCCCUUAGUCCCUUAGUCCAAAGGCCCUCUGGCUUACUUUUAUCACAUCUUCUUUUGAUCAGGCUCAUGUGACUUGGUUGUGCUUACUGGAGUUUUUACAUUGUUUAUUUUAGAUUUUAAUGUCCAUUUAGUUUUGGUUUUGGUAAUAGAUUUAUUAAGAUGCAAAUAAAAUACUACAAAAUUCAUCCCUUUAAAAGCAGUGGUUCUCAGUCUUCCUAAUACUAUGACCCUUUAAUAGAGUUCCUCAUAUUGUGGUAAUCUCAGCCAUGAAAUUAUUUUAUUGCUAUUUCAUAACAGUAAUUUUUUCAACUAUUAUAAAUUACAUUGUAAAUAUAUGUGUUUUCCAAUGGUCUUAGGCAACUCGUGUAAUAGUGUCAUUUGGCCCCAAAGUGGUCAUGACCCACGGGUUAAAAACUACUACUUUAAAGUAUACAAUUCAGUAGUUUAACUAUAUUCAUCAGGUUGUAUGGUUAUCAACACAAUUUAAGAUCACUUUUACCAUUAAAAAUUCCCAUCUUGAGGUCAGUCAUGAUGGCACACACUUGUCAUUGUAGCACUGACAGGCCUGAGGAAGACGGGUCUUGAGUUUGAGUCAUGCCUGGGCUACAGAGUGACAUCCUGCCUUUGAAAACAAAUACAGAAAAGCAAGCAACUAAUGGAACAAGCCAAAAAUAAAAA